AAUGCAGUGAGGGCAAGUCCAGAGGAGGCCACAAAGUUGAUCAGAGGGCGGGAGCACCUCCCCUAAGGAGACAAGCUGAGAAAGCUGGGGCUGUUCAACCUGGAGAGGAGAAGACCCUCCUUUUGGCUGGGGAAUGAGACCCUGAGAGUGCCUUUAGCACUCUUUGCCUUGAACAGAAGACGCCUGUGUGAACGCCUGAGACAGAACAAGGAUGUGCAGAAGAAUUCAGUUGUUCUGCUGCAGGGUGGGGAAGAAACCCAGAGAUACUGUACUGACACUGGUAUUGUGUUUCGCCAGGAAUCUUACUUUCACUGGACUUUUGGAGUAACUGAAGCAGGCUGCUUUGGAGCAGUAGAUGUUGAUACUGGAAGAUCCAUCCUUUUUGUUCCACAACUCCCUGAAAGCUAUGCUGUUUGGAUGGGAAAGUAAGACCUGCCUUUUAAC